GACGAACGCUGGCGGCGUGCCUAAUACAUGCCAGUCGAACGCUUCUUUCCUCCCGAGUGCUUGCACUCAAUUGGAAAGAGGAGUGGCGGACGGGUGAGUAACACGUGGGUAACCUACCCAUCAGAGGGGGAUAACACUUGGAAACAGGUGCUAAUACCGCAUAACAGUUUAUGCCGCAUGGCAUAAGAGUGAAAGGCGCUUUCGGGUGUCGCUGAUGGAUGGACCCGCGGUGCAUUAGCUAGUUGGUGAGGUAACGGCUCACCAAGGCCACGAUGCAUAGCCGACCUGAGAGGGUGAUCGGCCACACUGGGACUGAGACACGGCCCAGACUCCUACGGGAGGCGGCAGUAGGGAAUCUUCGGCAAUGGACGAAAGUCUGACCGAGCAACGCCGCGUGAGUGAAGAAGGUUUUCGGAUCGUAAAACUCUGUUGUUAGAGAAGAACAAGGACGUUAGUAACUGAACGUCCCCUGACGGUAUCUAACCAGAAAGCCACGGCUAACUACGUG
rnacentral:rRNA from 1 species